CAGCCGCCGCGGUAAUACAGAGGGUGCGAGCGUUAAUCGGAUUUACUGGGCGUAAAGCGUGCGUAGGCGGCUUCUUAAGUUGGAUGUGAAAUCCCUGAGCUUAACUUAGGAAUUGCAUUCGAUACUGGGAAGCUAGAGUAUGUGAGAGGAUGGUAGAAUUCCAGGUGUAGCGGUGAAAUGCGUAGAGAUCUGGAGGAAUACCGAUGGCGAAGGCAGCCAUCUGGCCUAAUACUGACGCUGAGGUACGAAAGCAUGGGGAGCAAACAGGAUUAGAUACCCGGGUAGUCCCUGUCUCUUAUAC
rnacentral:rRNA from 1 species